UACAGAGGUCUCAAGCGUUGUUCGGAUUCAUUGGGCGUAAAGGGUGCGUAGGCGGCGAGGUGAGUCGGAUGUGAAAUCCCGGGGCUCAACCCCGGAACUGCAUUCGAUACUGCUUUGCUUGAGUACUGGAGAGGAGACUGGAAUUUACGGUGUAGCAGUGAAAUGCGUAGAUAUCGUAAGGAAGACCAGUGGCGAAGGCGAGUCUCUGGACAGUUACUGACGCUGAGGCACGAAGGCCAGGGGAGCAAACGGG
rnacentral:rRNA from 1 species